CAUGCCUCGGGCUAUUUUCCUCCCGACAUGCCUCAGGCUACUUUCCUGGGGCUUAUUAUUUCCCUUCGGGAAAUAGGACUUACUCUCAUUUUCUGUUAAGGUGUUUCUCGGAGGCUAAGUGAAAUUUUAGAGACCUAGGGUCUGGCUGCUGUGGCUGUGUGAAUGAAGUUGCAUCUGUGGCUCCCCCACCCCAUGCACAACUUGAUCAUUCAGCUAGGACUUGGAGUCCCUGGAACAGACCCCUGUUUCUGUUGAUUAGACCAGGAGUGGCCUGGAUUAGAGCGGGAUUAGCCCUGACCUGCUCAGUUCCUCCUUCAAAUCAACUCGCACAUGAAGAUGAGCUGUUCUGGUGCUCCAUUGGCCUGGACCAAAAGUCUCAAGAUGUUCCCUCAUUCUCCGAGGUGCCCUCCAUCAGCCCUGCAUUGACUCAUUGGUUCUCAAUCUCAUCCUCUGUCUCCCUCUUUCUUACCUUCUUCUUCAUUUUGAUAUUAACAUCUGUAUAUUAGUAAUUAAAGAGCUCACAGUGUAGGUGACAGAGGAGGCCUG